AUUAGCCUACGGGGCGCAGCAGUGGGGAAUAUUGCACAAUGGGGGAAACCCUGAUGCAGCGACGCCGCGUGAGUGAAGAAGUAUUUCGGUAUGUAAACCUCUUUUGUCGGGGAGCAAAAGACGCCACGCGUGGCGUUCCGAGAGUACCCGAAGAAAAAGCAUCGGCUAACUCCGUGCCAGCAGCCGCGGUAAUACGGAGGAUGCGAGCGUUAUCCGGAUUUAUUGGGUUUAAAGGGUGCGCAGGCGGAAGAUCAAGUCAGCGGUAAAAUUGAGAGGCUCAACCUCUUCGAGCCGUUGAAACUGGU
rnacentral:rRNA from 1 species